rnacentral:rRNA from 1 species
CCCUUAGAUGUUCUGGGCCGCACGCGCGCUACACUGAUUCAUGCAUCAAGUAUACAACCUUGGUCGAAAGGCUUGGGUAAUCUUUGAAACUGAAUCGUGCUGGGGAUUGGAGCUUGUAAUUAUUCUCCAUGAACGAGGAAUUCCCAGUAAGCGCGAGUCAUCAUCUCGCGUUGAUUACGUCCCUGCCCUUUGUACACACCGCCCGUCGCUACUACCGAUUGAAUGGUUUAGUGAGAUCCUCGGAUUGGCCAUCUCGGCGUGACUUCGGUUGUGCACGUGGUGGCCGAGAAGACGAUCAAACUUGAUCAUUUAGAGGAAGUAAAAGUCGUAACA